AGUAGGGGGCACCCGAGAGCCCACAUGGCCUCCAACUCCCCUCCCUGCGGCCCCGCCGGCCGGGAAGGGCUUGGAAUUUAAUCCUCCGCAUUCCAUUCUGGGUUCCUGUGACAUAAUAAGGCCCAAGGAGGGAUCUCGAGUGACUGGUCAGCAGAACCCUCAGCGCGAUUUUCUAUAGAUAGCCAGGGCGUGUCUCGGGCUCGGUCCUUUCUGCGGGAGGAAAGUGCUUCCCCGCCGGGCUGGGCAGCGCCCUGUGCGGCAGGUGGGCGACGUGGGGGACCGGCUAGGCCCCGGGCUCGGGGGGAGUUUGUCCGGCAGCAGGGGAGGGGACGCCAGGGAUCCCGGGCCGGGAGAGGGAAUUCCAACUAUGGCGUUUUGGAGAAAACUCUUUAGUUAUUUGCCCUCACCGACCUCACCCCGAGAUGGGACUGCGGCUGCGAUGAGAUGUCCCAGAUACUGAGCCUCCAGCAGCCUUUGACGCCGGCUCUGCAAAGAUUCCGCGGUCUAAGCCGGGCUGUCCUUGGCGAGAGAGGCGUGUUUGGAAUGUCGGUGCGGCCGCCGCUCUGAUUGGAGGUUUGGGGUUUCAGAGUUCCUUAAUUUGCAUGACCAUGAGGCAUGCUUAUUACAGUCCACAAUAGAGGGUUGGAAUUUGAAACUCUGUUUACCUUCCAGAUUCCAAACAAGCAGCAUUCCUAUCAAUAAUGUCACAUAAAGACCGGCAUGAUGGUAUAGAAUCCUAACAUGACUGAUAUAUUUUAUUUUAUCCUGUCUAGCGGUGGAAAGGACUUCUCAGGAGAUUCCAAAUGAACAGCAUUCUGAUCAAGAGGAAGAGACUCAGAGGCAACUUGAGUGGGAAGGGGCUGCAGAAAAUGGAUUCUCCUCUUUUCAGUGACCCAUUGUUUGUGAUUGACACCAUUAUACACCCCAGAAGGUCAAGUAUAGACUUUACGUGAAAUUAUUCCAGAAACAUAUCAAUAUAAAAGCUGCUACAUAAAAUAGCCACUGGACACUCUAAGACUGCCGUCACUGAAGAGGCCGAAUCUUUGCGUGGUCUGCUUUGUAUCACGCCUAGUACCAUGUUACACAGAAAUAAAUAAAUGUAUCAUUUUAUGAAGAAUAAACGCUGGGGCUUUCCUGGUGGCUCAGUCGUGCAGGAGACAUGGGUUCGAUCCCUGAUCCGGGAAGAUCUGUCAUCCCACGGAGCAGCUCAGCUGAUACGCCACAACUAUUGAGCGUGUGUUCUAGAGCCUGUGAGCCACAACUGCUGAGACCAUGUGGCGCCCGCUUGCUUUGCAGCAAGAGAAGCCUUCGCACUGCGACUAGUGAGUAGCUACUGCUUACAGCUAGAGAAAAGCCUGCACAGCCACAAAGGCCCAGCACAGCCAACAAUAAACAAAUAAAACUAAGAAUAAUAAAUGCU
ensembl:lncRNA